AUCCAUGCCCCGGGAGAACGGAACGUGCAGGCAGACUAACCAGAGACCGUGUCAAAAGCAGAGAGGAACUGUACAGCCCCUCAAGAAGCUCUGCUUCUAGCUCUGUAGUCAGUAGGAUAAUUCCAUUUUUACUUUCUGUAAUAUGACUCACAAAUGUGUAUUACAGCCCUGACCUUGUCUUCAAGCCCUCAAUGCCGUUCGUUUGUUUAAAAUGUCCACAUGAAUGUCUGCAAGGAUUUCUGGCCCAGCCUAUCUACAAACUCUUUACUUAUUUGUUUCCCAACAAAUCCCAUCCUUCCGCAGAUUUUCCUGCCUCGAUGGCACCUUUAGCUUUCACCAUCGCUCAUAUCAGAGCCCCCAGAAGUGGACUAACCUCUAACCAAUCGUGUGUGCCCCAUGUCCCAGCUUCUACCUCAUUCAUGCCUCUGUCUUUAGAAGCCAGGACCUUGUCAGAGCCCCUAAAUUGUCUCCUUGCUUCUAUUCUCGCCAGGAUCUCUGGCAUCUCUCCUCUCCAUGGCCCACGGAAUAACCACUUCAACUUAAGCAUGAUGUCUCCAUGGCACUCAAGAUGUAUCCAGGCCUCCCUGGCUUCUGAGGUCUGGCCAGUCCUUCUCCUCAUUCCUCUUUCCAGCACUUCAACCAAAAUGCCGUGCGUGUGAGUUCUGCUCCCAGGAAGCUCUCAUCUGUCUCCCUCUACUCCCCCCACAAAAAUGUAAAGGAGUCUGGCUUGUCUUCCCAGAAGGCCAGUGUCCUGGCCAACCCUUGUAAACUCUUUUGCCCACUUUAAAAUUCUUGAAAAGCAAUCUCCGUUCCCAGCCAGACUCCCGGCUCCCAGUGCUUCCUACCCACAUCCCUCCAGCCCCAUCCGUCAGCUUCCUUGGGUCAACACCACAGCUGAGCCUGCCCCUUCGGAAGCUGACAUUCCCUCAAGGGUGGUGGAUUUACAGUGCAGGGUUACUGGGUGCGUAAAUCUGGGCCCCGGGAUUCGAGAACUGUGACAUUUUUACAGCCUCCUCCCCCAAGUCUCUGCACGUAUUUGAAGCAACUGGAGGGAGGAACAUCUGUUUUCACUUUCUACAAUUCACUCCAUGGCUCCCAUCUGACAAAAAUGUCAAUCCUGCCAGAGUUCUGGUCCCUGGCUGAAUGAAUGAGCAACGAGGCCACACUCUGCCAGAGGUCUUGAUUGUCCUGUCUCAUCAGGCUAUAAAGAAGCCACUGGAAUAAAAAGGUCUCCACUAACUGCUAACCAGAAAAUGUUCCUGAGAUCAGGUUGGGUAGUCACCUUCCAAUUUGCCAGAAGUUAAGGAGGCGCCUUGCUAGGGGAGGCAGGGAGAGCCUCUAGGGUUUCCCUUUCAACUGAAGCUAUACCCUGAGGGCUAUGUGCAAUGGAUGCUGGAACUUGUAGUCUCUGGGCAAGAUGACUUUGCUGAGAGCCCUCAGGUAGGUUGCAAAGCAUGGGUGAUUAUUCAUUGCCUAGCCCAUGAUCUUGGCUAGAAUGUACCGUGGCAAGGCAUAUCCUGACAGAAAGUCCUAUCAGGAAAAUAUGCACACAUCCUUGCUUAACAUUCCAUUCAAAGAUAAGACAGUGAGGUUCAUCUUGUUAGGCAUGACGUAGUUCAUUGUCAGCCUACCUACGGCACUACCCUGUGAUGAGGGUCCAUCCUUUCAUCUGAGUGAGAUAGCCAUGAUGCAGUCAAAUUAGAAACCUGUAUCUCUCCUAGAUGGUCCCACUGGCAGCUGGCAGGAAAGAUCAGAUCAGGAACAGACCCCUUUGGGAAGGCUGCCCCGCAGAAAGCAGCACAUUGGCUCUCUUAUCCAUGAUCGCUCACUGCAUAUGGGUUUGGCCACAACCAUGGCAGAAAACAGUGGGUGUUCCAUCACUUUCUCCCUACAGCACACUGGCUUCAAGAUGCCUGUAGAAAGAAAGCCCAAGUCCAAAUAGAGCAUGGCAUCGUGGCCCUCUGAGGACAGCCAGAGGACACACAAGCCUCCAAUACAUCAUUAGGAUUCUCUGAUAGGUCUGUGGCCUUUCCAGCUCAAAAUCCUUCGAAGUCCUCACAGCCUGUUCAGUAAAUACUUGUCUCCCCGCUCUCCUCCCACGCUCUAAAUUCUAGUCAAGGGGGUCAUUUGUUAAAGUCAGGAACCACCCCUCAUGGGGCGCUUAUUAAAUCCCAUGAGCUGUGUGAAGUACAUGGGACGAUUGUGUCACCCGGUCCCGUAUCUACCUGAGGAGGGUAGAUUUAGGCCUGGCUUUCAGAAGGAGGAACUGAGGCACGGAAGUGAAGCCACUGAACCUGCCACCAACCAGUUGAUUCUGCUGGAGGUUAUCACGUGGACAGUAACCACAAAGCUACACAACAACAAAAGACACGGUCACCUACUGCACAAGGACCUUGUCUGAAAGCAUUCGUAAGUGCCCUCCCCACAGCUGGAUACUGGGGACACUCUCUAUGACCCCCUUUUCAAGGCCAUCUCUUCUACAAACACAGCGUGUAUGCUUGCUUGCAGCCCUCUGAUCCGAACACAGAACCACUGUGCCCCACCGUGCAUGCAUAGUAUAGGUUCCGACUGCACUCUUCCUCUUCUGAUGGUCCCCUUUCCAUAUUGCCCCAGCUUAGACAAAUUGUAGGUUUCCAAAUCCUGUGAACUGCAGCACUUGAGUUAAAUUACAACCUCGAUCUCUGUCUGUCUCUAUGUCUCUGUCUCUGUCUCUGUCUCUCUAUCUGUCUCUGUCUCUCUCUCUCUCUCUCUCUCUCUCACACACACACACACACACACGCACAUGUGCAAUCUCUUAUUCUCAUACCUGGGUGAAGAGAUGUCUAAGUUAUACCAGCCGCUUCUUUGACCUGUCUUUUGAAACGUCGAGUCUAAUCCCUUUACUCUUGCAUGUGGGCCAAAUUUAAUGUCCCUUUUUUAGUACACACAACGUGACUAAAAGGAGGUCAGGUUGUCAACCAUGCUGCCACACUUUCACCUUGUCCUCAUAGAUCAUCUGCUUUGGGUACAGCUAGUCAUGGUGACACUCAAGUAGUUGUAAUGAAGGUAACAGGGACUCCUAUUGGUGAAUGCUAAGAGGCAAAACACAAAAAAGAGUCCAGAAUGAGAAAGGUGUACUACAGAUUAUUAGUUUUUUGUUUUGCAUUUUUUUGAGACAGGAUCCCUCCACGUAUCCUCUGCUGUCCUGCAACUCACUGUGAGACCAACCCAGCCUUGAACUCUCAGAGAUCUGUCUGCCUCUGCCUCCUGAGUGCUGGGAUUAAAACAGUAGUUCAUAACCCAUGGGCCUCAACCAUUUUGGGCUUACCCUUUCGGCGGCUGAAUUACCCUUUCACAGGGGUCACCUAAGAACAUCAGAAAACAGAUAUUUACAUUAUAAGCUGUAACAGUAGCAAAAUUACAAUUUGAAGUGGCAAUGAGAAUAAUUGUAUGGUUGGGGGUCACCGCAACAUGAGGAACUCUGUUAAAGGGUCACAGCAUUAGGAAGAUCGAGAACCACUGAAUUAAAGACAUUCAACCCCAUGCCCAGCUUCAGGGUUCAUACUCAAAGGUAAUACUUCCUCAAACAAAAAGCAAGGGACUUUGACUGGGGACAUUUCUGUGUGUUCACAUGAAGGAGACAGACUAGUCUUUCCAUGGUGAGGCAGGUACAUUCCUGAGCAUAGUUUCUUCAGCCCACGUGUCUGUAUAUAUAGCUUUAAAAGCAAAACAAAAAGACAAGGUCUCAGUUUGUAACAUUGCCUGAUCUAGAACUUACUAUGUAGAUCAUGCUCGUCUCAAACUGAUAGAACUCCACCUGCCUCUGCCCCCCCCCCCGAGUGCUGUGAUCAAAGGUGUGCACCACCAUAGCCUGCCAUAUUUUUUUAGUGUAAACGCAAGGCUGUGCACAAAGAAUUUAGUGUGAUAACCAGCGUAGAGUGCUCUAGGCCACCUAAGAAGAAGAAACUAGGAUGACUCUGGUUCCUUGUGUCUCUGCAGGGGCUUACCUGGAAGAAACAAACCUCAGCUUUGAAAGAAUGUUAACAACCAUUUAAAGUAUACAGUUAUUUAAAAGGUGUGGCUUUGCCCACAAAAACAUGGAUGACUGUCCCUGAAAGUGGCUGCCUGGUGGUUGAGAGACAAUAGCUGGGCCCCUGUUCAGCCUCUGCCAGAAUCUUCACAGAUGCCUCAUGGGAGACUCCACGGCAACCCCUCUCCGAUGAGCAGCCCUGGGAACCCUCUGUCCAAAAUGCUCGGUUGGGAAAGUCACUGUUUUUGAAGUCAUGUGUUCCACACCCACAAACUGGGAUCCACAACUGGAGACUUUUGAAAAUGUUAAGUGUGAGUAUGUUGUUCUCCAACUCAGAAUUCCUUUAAGACUCUCUGCCGCCACCUGACCAGCAAUGACACUCAUUGAACGGUAUCCAAGGCUCUUCAGGGGCUGACCUCUGGCCUCCACUCUCAAGAGAUCACUUAGCUCUCGUUCCUCUGGCAGGCCAGAGUUGUUUUAUAUCUGAAGUCCCUCCCUCCCUUCCUCCCCCCAUGCCUCCCUUUCUCUCUCCCCCUUCGUAGCCCACUCUCUCUGAGAUUCAAGCAUCAGAUCACAUGCCAGCAGCCAUUCCAGGAGCAAUCUGGAUGCAAGAGAGGGAUUAAGAUGAAUCCAGAGGGAAAAUUGUAGGGAACACUUCAGCCAGACAUUCUCUUCUGAUGCAUGUCCAUCAAAUCAACGGAGCUGAAGGCUCGAGGUUGAAGCCUGGGCACCCCAAACACAUGCUCUAGAUGUUUUGUAUUUUCUAGGAAAGCAGCCCAGGAAGUAAGAGAUGCCUACUCCUUGUCCCCAACACGAUCUCAGAACCCAAGGCAUCUCAUCGGGUAGAUGAUGCCCGGGUGUCAUUUGAAACUGAUGUGGACCUGUGACCCUGGGAUUCUGGUCCCGAGUCUGUGUGUGGAGUAUGUCUGUGAGAGGCAUGGAUGUGUGGGUUUGGAGGGAGAGAGUAUUAUACCUUAUUUUAGCAGCAAAGGGUCCACCCGGCACAUCACUGAAUCCGUCACCUCGAGAGCACGCCUUUAUUUUUGAACUCUUUGGGUUGUUGGUUCGUCAUUUUUCUUUUUAAGCUUGACACAUAGCACUUGUCAUUUCUACGGGGUCCGGUGUGGCAAUGUGAUGCACCCCGAAGUCUGUGAGCAGCGCAAGGACUUGUCCCUCUCCAUUAACGGAGAACGUGAUGGAGACGGGGAGGGGUGAUCCUCUUUCGACAUCAGUGCCUUUUGCGCAAUGGGCUGCCUACAACUUUUUGCCGCUAAAGGGAAAAGGAUCUCAGAUGCCCUCAUUUCACUGCAGAGGUUCGCUUUGUUCUCAAGCCAUGGCACAACGGCCUUUAAGCAACAAGGCCUGAAGAUGCAGAGGGCUUAAACCCCAGCUGCUUAUCAUUCUUCCGCAGGCAAGCACCAGCAGGAUCGUCACAGACCUGGGCAUUGAUGUCUCUUUCUGAGGCUGAUAGAACUCACAUCACAAGGAUCUUAUAUCAAACCGAGGAUGGAACCUGGGUCUUCACACAUGCCCGGCUGUUCCCUUCUGAGCCAGCAACCAUGGUACACGGGCAAGCUGGAUGGAGAAGGGAGGAGGAGGGGAAAGCCCAGAUGUCGAGCGUGCGCUGCAUCCUGCACAGCUGUGCCCUGGAAACUUCGCUGGGGCAAGAAGGGAAUGAGGAAUACAUUGAAGAACGAACACAGACGCGAAUAGAAAAGCUGGGAUGCUGGCUCCGAAAUGAACCAGCUUGCAGCCUGGAAACUCAGCUUGCUUAUUCUGCACGGCAAGAUAGGAGGUCUCUGCAGGGGAAAGUCUCAGGCUGUAAAGACCUGGGCGAGGGAAGCUGCCCUUUGUACUUUCUGUACGCUCUGUCGUCGUUCACAGAAGGACCAGAGGAAGGCUCUCCCAAUUCCCAUGGGUCUGAGGCAUUGUGAUCCUUGAUAUGGCUAUGCUCAUGUCAACAACUCACACCCAUUCCCCUCACCCAGCCCUUACACUUUCUCUCAGGGCUUCUGCUCCUGGCGAUACUGUUUUGCCAAUUUCCCUGGUGUAAAUACUUCUACCAAGUUGCUGGGGGGGGGCACCUUAGUGGUACAGGCUGUGCCUAGCGUGUACCAGGUCUCAGGUUCAAUCCAUAACACUUAAAAUACAAAAUCUCACAAGGAACCCACACAAGUCAGCUAUACGCAUCGCUGCGAAAGAAUUUUGUCACAUUUUAUGUUAAGUAUGAGCUCCCUACCACCGUCCCCAACUACAGAAAAGACGAAGACAAGUACUGGCAGACUGUUUAACAAAAGAGAUGGGAAGUAGCGCACCAAAAUCUGGGUAAGAGUGAGCAUUCAGUAACUGUGAUCACUGAACAGACUGGUGUUUGUGUAAGGUUGUUACCUGCUCUGCCUGGCCUUUGGUGCACUGUCUGGGGCUGAGAAGAGCUUGCUGAUGGCUGGGACCUAGUUCCUUAAAGCCCCGUUACCUGUGCUUCAGUAAAGAAGUUUUCAGUUCACAGGGGAACUCAGUCAUCCUAAGAGACACAGCACCCUCACCCCCGCGCCGGGGGUGUAGAGCAAGCUGAGACCCAGGACCUAUACAAAGAUUUAGAUCAAAUCCAGGGGUCGGCUUGGUUUAGACAAAGCAGCAGGACCCUAUCCGUCUGUCAGACUGACACAAACAGCUUUCAUCUGGAGGGAUCUGGAAGGCAAAGGCUUCAAGUCUGACCUGGCUCCAGCUCAAAGCUCUGUCACUCACCUGGACCUGUCCCAGGUAAACUGGAAAUUUCAAGGCUUAGCCAGGUAUGAGGCUACACAGAAGGAGAAAGAUAAGAUGUGUGAGCCGUGCCUCGCCCCACACACCCCUCAGUGAUGCUAACCACAUGCCAGCCCUGCCAAGUCGGCAGAAAACAAGGUUAACAGCUAAGAUUCAAAAAGGACUGAGUCUCAAGACCAGUUGCACUGUCCUGCUCCCCCUGGGCACGAGGGGAAAAUAUAUGGCAUGUUAAUAUUUAGUAUCUCUAUGCAUCGUGUUGAUUUAAAACAUGAAGCUCUGUUUUGUAGUGUGACUUUUAGGGCACCUUCACUAGCUGUUGAGUGGACUAGGAGUUGAGUCAAGAGGCUGAUCUGUGUCUCCCUUCAGAGCAGCUCCCUUCAGCAAGCAAGCAGCUGCAUCCACAUGAUAGGGUCUGGGCGGUUCUCUGAAUGCCCUUGGGCACAUACAGUCUACAGAUUAUAGAGCAAGGAACCCGGAGGUAGUGAGGUAGAGGCGGUGAACAAAGGCCAGAGGCGAAGCUAGGAUUCAGGUAACAGAAUACCCUCCUGGAAUCAGACAAAAAUCCAGGCAGAAAUCCAAGGAUGGGAAAGAGCUGGGCUGUAGCCACCCAGAUAGAGGCAAGUGGGUUUGGAGCAGGAGAUGACAGAGCCCUGGAAUAUGCUUUAAGUGACAGCAAAAGAGUCUGUGUUCUCUCCUUGUUUGGGGGGUGGGAGGUGGUCACUAAAACCACUCUCCUGUUUCAGCAAUCCUGAGGAUCCCACAGUCAACUGCCAGCAAACCUAAACAGCAUCUGUUACCAAGCAGAGGGUUCUCUUUGAAUCUCAUCUUCUCAAAGGAAGAUUCAGCCAAGGGCAGGAGACAGUCCACCGGGAGCUUGUUUAGGAAAGAGAUCUACACUGCAAAGCAGCAUCCGAGAGGGGUCCCCCAGAGCAGGCAACAACCACUCACUAGAUUUUGUGUUCUGGAUUUUAAAGACUUCUUUCUUAUGAAUACUUAGGAGGUAGACCAGGUGUCCUGAGGUGAGGUAACAUUUUCCCGCUCCCAGAUCACGGUGGAACAGCUCUCCCCUUUAAAGUAGUUCUUACCAUGAUGCUUUCGAAACACCCACAAGGAGAUGGGAGUCAACAUGACAAUGCAAAUAAUAUUAUAAUGAGGCUGGGGGUCUUUCAAGGGUGCAGGUCUCUACUUAGUGCUAAUGUCAGGCAGUAGGGAACGUUCUCUGGUGCCUCGGCUUCUGGCAUGGCAGAAAGAACUGAUUUUUUAACCUCAAAGGGGAAUAAUUCUGACCACUGGAAGACUUAGCUACUGAGAUAUAUUUGUGGUUUUCCUUGGUGACCUCGUGUGUCACUUCUUGCUGACACGGUCUCACACCCCUAGGGCCAUCGUCUGUUGAGUCACGGAGAAUGGAAAACAACCCCACGAACUACUAGUCAUCGCUGACAGCCCAGAAACCUUCAAAGAAAUUGGUGCGCAGAGUGCUAGGGAAUAGAAAUUUGGAGAAAUAUCUGACAGGAACAUGGACACAAGUGAGAAAGAGCAUAAAGACGGGGACACUACAGUGGUCACGAGUUGGACUGUCUGUCAGACAGGAACAGGAUCGGUCAGAGAAACCAGUCUGCAUCUAUCGUCCAGUCAAUUUUCUCUUUCCACCAGGUGUGUCCCUGGGAUGAUCAAACGCCCAUCCCUCCAAUCUCUUGGGCAUUGCCUUUCCUCUUAAACCACGUUCAUCUCAUGGGACGAAAUACAGUAAGAGCUUAUAUAAGACUGAGCUGAACGUCCACCACAUGUGAGCUUGUAACAUGCAUGAUCCUUUCUGUGUGCAUGUCGAUCUGCUUCCUGCUGCUAACCAGGCUGAAAACUACUGGACACACACACACACACACAUGCACAUACAUAAAGAGACAGAGUUAACUCUUUAUGUCUAUGAGUUUCAUAUCUGUGACUUCAGCUAACCCCAUGUUGAAAAAUAUUCAAAAAUUGUGCAUAUACUGAACAUGUAAUGACUUUUUCCUUGUCAUUAUUCCCUAAACAAACAUUAUCUAUUCACAUUGUGACAGAUAGUAUAUAUAAUGCAGAGAUUGCUUAGUGCAGGAGGAGUAAUGGAGUCUGUGCAAGCACACCAUUUUUUAUUCAUAGUGCUUGAAUACGAACACCUAUAGAUUUUAUAUCCCCAGGGGUCCUGGAACCAAUUCCCCGUGAAUACAAGAGGAUGACUGUGUAUUAACAAUCUAGCAAAAAUGAGGAGUGACUUUGCUCAGUAUCCAAAAACUAGGCUUGGGAUGAGUGAGCACAGGUGGGAAGCAGGAUACCGUUCACUGCCAAUAAGGGUCUCACUAGUGACGGGGCGGGGGAUGCUGCAGAGCUGCAGUGCAAGCUGGGAGCAAAAGACCAGGAGAGGUCCCUUUGCUGGCUAGUGUUGAACACACAAACUGAUGAAUGGAAGGACAGGAUGGUGUUGUCACAGCGUGACUGUGUCCCCAAGAUCAUGUAUUGGAAACCAUCCCACUAGAGCACUGGAAGACAGGGUCUAGUAAGAAGUGUGUAGUUAGUGUCAACACCAUGGGGAAGGGGUAGCUGUUAGGAGUAUGAACUUGUUAUAAGACAAUUCUCGCUUUUUCUAACUUAUAGUUGGGUAUAAUAUAUAUAUUAUAUAUAUAAUAUACAUUAUAUAUUAUUUCAUCCAUGUAGCCAAUGAAAUAUGACCAUAUCCACACAUGUCCCUUCUUCACCUCCUUCCCCCAUGUCCCUUCAACAAUCCUCCUCCCAACUCUUGUCUUUUCUUCCCUUUUUGGUAACCCAGUAAGUCUUAUUAGUCACUCUUGUAUGGUUCUUUGGGGGUAACCAUGGUGUCUGUGAGUUCAUGCAUGUAUCAGUCGUACCAAGUACAGAAAACAGUGUUCCACGACACUCCUCACUAGCUUCUGGCUCUUUCCUGGAUCCUGUUCCAAAAGAUUCCCUGAGCCUUGAAGAAGGGGGAUUGGGAUGCUCCUCUCUUGUUUUUGCCUCCCAUUUCCUACCACAGGAUGAAGCACUAUAAACCUCUUAUCAGAUGCUGGCCCUCUGAUUUUGAACUUCCUCACCUCCAGAGGUAGAAAUGAAUUGAUUUUCUUCCUAAGCUUCUGAAUUAUUCUGCUAUUGCAGCACAAAACAGGCAAGGCAAACAUCUUCAAAGCUAGAUGAUAAACCGCAGCAAACCAGCCGUAGGAAGACCAGCAUCUGGAUAGACACAGAAGGCCCCAGCUCUUCUCUCCUUCACCGGACUCUAGUGUCAUUGCACAGAACACUUGUGGAUCUGCUCCUUCAGGAUUGAUGAGAAGGAAGUUGGGAACUCCCCACAUUGGGCUAGAAGUGCCAUGAGUACAGAUAUUAUGUCUUCUUGGUCAAUUCUGCCCACACCAAGGACCCUCAAGGCCCAAGUAGAACAGAGCUCUGGGGAUGCCUGGUUUUCUUCAUUACCACCCCCAGCAGUUAUAAACUCUGGCCCUAAAUAAAGGUGUUCAUGCACUGAUGGCUACUUGAA